rnacentral:rRNA from 1 species
AGGACGAACGCUGGCGGCGUGCUUAACACAUGCAAGUCGAGCGGAAAGGCCCUUCGGGGUACUCGAGCGGCGAACGGGUGAGUAACACGUGAGCAACCUGCCCCUAGCUUCGGGAUAGCUCCGGGAAACCGGAAUUAAUACCGAAUAUGACCAUGGACGACAUCAGCCAUGGUGGAAAGUUUUUCGGCUAGGGAUGGACUCGCGGCCUAUCAGCUAGUUGGUGAGGUAACGGCCCACCAAGGCGACGACGGGUA